rnacentral:tRNA from 1 species
UGCCGAUUAGUGUAACGGUAGCACACUUGACUCUGACUCAAUCAGCCAAGGUUCGAAUCCUUGAUCGGCAGCCA